rnacentral:rRNA from 1 species
UACGGGGGGGGCAAGCGUUGUUCGGAAUUACUGGGCGUAAAGGGCUCGUAGGUGGCCAACUAAGUCAGACGUGAAAUCCCUCGGCUUAACCGGGGAACUGCGUCCGAUACUGGAUGACUUGAGUUCGGGAGAGGGAUGCGGAAUUCCAGGUGUAGCGGUGAAAUGCGUAGAUAUCGGGAGGAACACCAGUGGCGAAGGCGGCAUCCUGGCCCUGUCCUGACGCUCAGGGGCGAAAGCGUGAGGAGCAAACCGG